UUGUUGUUGAAUUGCCAUGGAAGAAUCUACUGCUUGCUGAAUAUCCAUGCUGAUUAGAAAAUACUUCCAUGGACUCAUGCAGGAUGGAACACGUUGGAAAAGUAAGACUAGCAUCACUAUUUGUAUGUAGUUAUAAGACAUUUUAAUGUCCUAUAAAUAUGCUUUUUGCCUAUACUUUUAAUAAGCCUUCAAUUCACCGACGUGCAGAUCGAAGAAGAAAGAGUAAUGCGAUAACCCAGAAAGAUACCACUUGGAUAUCUCUGUGUCUAUUUUGUGAAGGAUAGACUUUGGAACACAUGCAUCUAGACCCCAAGCAGGACUGUGACACUAUAUUUUCAUAAUAGUAUCCGCAAAAGGUAAUAUCUGUAGGGAAAAAUACUAAUUAGCAUUUUGAAUCAUUUUAGAUACUAGUGAAGUUCCAAAUAAUUUCAUCUUCAUUUAAGUUGAAUUAUUGCUUGAGCUGGGGUAUCAAUAUAAUAAAGCUCUAAUGGGGAAUAGGUAUACCGUAAUUAUAAUUACUCUUUCACCGAUCUCUAAGCAUUGUCUUCAACA
rnacentral:lncRNA from 1 species